rnacentral:rRNA from 1 species
UUCCAGACUCCUACGGGAGGCAGCAGUGGGGGAUAUUGCACAAUGGGGGGAACCCUGAUGCAGCGACGCCGCGUGGGUGAAGAAGCGCCUCGGCGCGUAAAGCCCUGUCAGCAGGGAAGAAAAUGACGGUACCUGAGUAAGAAGCCCCGGCUAACUACGUGCCAGCAGCCGCGGUAAUACGUAGGGGGCAAGCGUUAUCCGGAUUUACUGGGUGUAAAGGGAGCGUAGACGGCGAAGAAAGUCUGAAGUGAAAGCCCGCGGCUCAACCGCGGAAUGGCUUUGGAAACUGCCCGGCUAGAGUGCUGGAGAGGUAAGCGGAAUUCCUAGUGUAGCGGUGAAAUGCGUAGAUAUUAGGAGGAACACCAGUGGCGAAGGCGGCUUACUGGACAGUAACUGACGUUGAGGCUCGAAAGCGUGGGGAGCAAACAGGAUUAGAUACCCCAGUAC